rnacentral:rRNA from 1 species
GACGAACGCUGGCGGCGUGCUUAACACAUGCAAGUCGAGCGAUGAAGUUCCUUCGGGAGUGGAUUAGCGGCGGACGGGUGAGUAACACGUGGGUAACCUACCUCAAAGAGGGGGAUAGCCUCCCGAAAGGGAGAUUAAUACCGCAUAAUAAUCAGUUUUCACAUGGAGAUCGAUUUAAAGGAGUAAUCCGCUUUGAGAUGGACCCGCGGCGCAUUAGCUAGUUGGUAGGGUAACGGCCUACCAAGGCGACGAUGCGUAGCCGACCUGAGAGGGUGAUCGGCCACAUUGGAACUGAGAGACGGUCCAGACUCCUACGGGAGGCAGCAGUGGGGAAUAUUGCACAAUGGGCGAAAGCCUGAUGCAGCAACGCCGCGUGAGUGAAGAAGGUUUUCGGAUUGUAAAGCUCUGUCUUUAGGGACGAUAAUGACGGUACCCAAGGAGGAAGCCACGGCUAACUACGUGCCAGCCGCCGCCGUAAAAC